GCGAUCGUGGUGUAACGGCAGCAUUAGAGUCUUCCAAACUCAUGGUAUGGGUUCGAGUCCCUUCGAUCGCU
rnacentral:tRNA from 1 species